rnacentral:rRNA from 1 species
UUACGCUGUUAUCCCUAAGGUAAUUUAGUCUUAUAAUCAAAAUAAAUGGAUCAAACAAUUAUAAAUCAAUAUAACCAAAACUAAGAGGAGUUAAGUACAUUCCUCCCAUCACCCCAACAAAACAAAAAGCCCACUCACCAAAAAUAAACAAACAACAAACAAGUAAAUAAACCAAAUGUCAAACUCUAUAGGGUCUUCUCGUCCCACAAAAACAUCUAAGAAUUUUAACUCAAAGACCAAAUUCAAUAAAACAUUCAACACUAAGACAGCCCGUGCCUCGUCAAGCCAUUCAUUCCAGAUCACAAUUAAAGAACUAAUGAUUAUGCUACCUUUGCACGGUCAAAAUACCGCGGCCCUUCAACACCAAAUGUCAGCGGGCAGGCCAUACUUCAAAAACUAACAAGAAAAGAUGUUUUUGAUAAACAGGCG